rnacentral:rRNA from 1 species
UACGUAGGAGGCAAGCGUUGUCCGGAAUUACUGGGCGUAAAGCGCGUGUAGGUGGUGGGACAAGUCUGCUGUGAAAGCGCCUGGCUUAACCGGGCGAGGUCGGCGGAAACUGUCCGACUAGAGGACGGUAGAGGGGGGUGGAAUUCCCGGUGUAGUGGUGAAAUGCGUAGAGAUCGGGAGGAACACCUGUGGCGAAGGCGGCCCCCUGGGCCGGCCCUGACACUGAGACGCGAAGGCGUGGGGAGCGAACGGGG